rnacentral:misc_RNA from 1 species
GGGGGUGUUUCGGCUACGCG